GACGAACGCUGGCGGCGUGCUUAACACAUGCAAGUCGAACGGAAAGGCCCUGCUUUUGUGGGGUGCUCGAGUGGCGAACGGGUGAGUAACACGUGAGUAACCUGCCCUUGACUUUGGGAUAACUUCAGGAAACUGGGGCUAAUACCGGAUAGGAGCUCCUGCUGCAUGGUGGGGGUUGGAAAGUUUCGGCGGUUGGGGAUGGACUCGCGGCUUAUCAGCUUGUUGGUGGGGGAGGGGCUUACCAAGGGUUUGACGGGUAGCCGGCCUGGGAGGGUGACCGGCCACAUUGGGCCUGAGAUACGGCCCAGACUCCUACGGGAGGCAGCAGUGGGGAAUAUUGCACAAUGGGCGGAAGCCUGAUGCAGCAACGCCGCGUGCGGGAUGACGGCCUUCGGGUUGUAAACCGCUUUAGCCUGUGACGAAGCGUGAGUGACGGUAAUGGGUAAAGAAGCACCGGCUAACUACGUG
rnacentral:rRNA from 1 species